rnacentral:rRNA from 1 species
AUUGAACGCUGGCGGCAGGCCUAACACAUGCAAGUCGAACGGUAACAGGAAACAGCUUGCUGUUUCGCUGACGAGUGGCGGACGGGUGAGUAAUGUCUGGGAAACUGCCUGAUGGAGGGGGAUAACUACUGGAAACGGUAGCUAAUACCGCAUAACGUCGCAAGACCAAAGAGGGGGACCUUCGGGCCUCUUGCCAUCGGAUGUGCCCAGAUGGGAUUAGCUAGUAGGUGGGGUAACGGCUCACCAAACCUACGAUCUAUAGCUGGUCUGAGAGGACGAUCAGCCACACUGGAACUGAGACACGGUCCAG